rnacentral:rRNA from 1 species
UACGAAGGGGGCUAGCGUUGCUCGGAAUCACUGGGCGUAAAGGGUGCGUAGGCGGGCCUUUAAGGCAGGGGUGAAAUCCUGGAGCUCAACUCCAGAACUGCCUUUGAUACUGAGGAUCUUGAGUACGGGAGAGGUGAGUGGAACUGCGAGUGUAGAGGUGAAAUUCGUAGAUAUUCGCAAGAACCCCAGUGGCGAAGGCGGCUCACUGGCCCGUAACUGACGCUGAGGCACGAAAGCGUGGGGAUCAAACAGG